rnacentral:snRNA from 1 species
GUGCUUGCUUCGGCAGCAUAUAUAAUAAAAUUGGAAUGAUACAGAGAUUAGCAUGGCCCCUGUGCAAGGAUGAGAUACAAAUUCAUAAAGCAUUCCAUAGUUUU